rnacentral:lncRNA from 1 species
AAUUUUUUGUAUUAGUAGAGACGGGGUUUCACCAUGUUGACCAGGGUGGUCUCGAUCUCUUGACCUCGUGAUCCACCCGCCUCGGCCUCCCAAAGUGCUGGGAUUACAGGCUUGAGCCACCACGCCCGGCCGAACCGGAAACUCUUAAUAAUAGGAGAUGCCUCAAGGACACAGCAGUCAGCUUGAAGAGAUUCUCACUAAACCCACGUGAAACCUGGAACAAUUCGAGCACCAAAAUAAUAAUGAUAGUUACGGAUUAUAUCAUACUAAACAAACAAGAAAUACAUGAAUCCACACUGGUAUAAAGAAAUAAAUGCAUAAAAGUGUGGGGAGAGGAGAAAGUUCUGCCUUAAAAUAGAAUGCUGUCUGAUACAUAGAAGGAAUUCUGGAAUUGGAGAGAUUCCCAUUUGGCAGUCAUCACCGUAAUCAUUAAUUUAGGUAAGAAGCAUCAACGGACGCUAACACUAGUGAAUAAAAGUUGGAUGAGGAUCAGAAUCUUUAUAUAACCAUCAAGUAUCUGUCCACAAAUCCUUAUGCAUUUUAAGGGGGAACACAGGAGCUUUACUGGAGACACGUGGAAGACACAGUCUUACUCAGGUGAUCAAAGGUCUCAUCAGCAGUGAUGGGACACCCAGCGUUCCGUGUCACUUGAUGGGAUGCAAUGAGAAGAACACAGCAUCACUUCCAAACAAUGCCAUCUUCAGAUCUUUUCGUGAGAAAAUAUCUCUAAUCCCAGUUCAGGGGCAUUUUACAAAAUAAUUAACCUGCUGCCUUCCAUAAUAUAAAGGUGGUGAAGGUGAAGGAUACUGUUCCAGAUCAAAAGAGCCUGAAGAGAGAUGACAACUAGAUAGAAAGUGUGAUCCUGAAAUGGAUCCUGUGACUGGAAAGAGCAUUACUGGGAAAGUCGGCCUACCUCAAAUUGGGGUCUCUGGGUGAAGGGUAAAAUCUGCUGGUGGAGUCACUCCAUUAUUCUUAUCCAUGGAGAGCUAGAUCUUGAUUUGAACGUUUCUGAGAAAAUCUUCAGCUCAGACUUGAGGUCAACUUUCCAACUGAAGGUCAUCCCUGCGUUACUACUAAACAUCCUUCUCAAUCGCCCCCAAUCCACGAGUGGCUGUUCUCCAUUGUGUAUUUCACCAGAUGUCCUCGAAACCGACAGACAGAAAAAGGAAGUGGCUUAUGGAAUGGGCUGUUGCCAGCUUCUGCUUUCCUGCCCCAGUCCCAGCAUGGACUGA